rnacentral:rRNA from 1 species
CCUACGGGAGGCAGCAGUGGGGGAUAUUGCACAAUGGGGGAAACCCUGAUGCAGCGACGCCGCGUGGGCGAAGAAGUAUUUCGGUAUGUAAAGCCCUAUCAGCAGGGAAGAAGGAAUGACGGUACCUGAGUAAGAAGCACCGGCUAAAUACGUGCCAGCAGACGCGGUAAUACGUAUGGUGCAAGCGUUAUCCGGAUAUACUGGGUGGAAAGGGAGCGCAGGCGGCACGGCAAGCCUGAUGUGAAAGCCCGCGGCCGAACCGCGGGACUGCAUUGGGAACUACCGGGCUGGAGUGCAUGAGGGGUAGGUGGAAUUCCUCGUGUAGCGGUGAAAUGCGUAGAGAUUAGGAGGAACACCAGAGGCGAAGGCGGCCUACUGGACGGUGACUGACGCUGAGGCUCGAAAGCGUGGGGAGCAAACAGGAUUAGAUACCCGUGUAGUC